GCUUUCGUGGCAUGGGAUGGUGUCGCGUCCUAUCAGCUUGUUGGCGGGGUGAGGGCCCACCAAGGCGUUGACGGGUAGCCGGCCUGAGAGGGCGACCGGCCACAUUGGGACUGAGAUACGGCCCAGACUCCUACGGGAGGCAGCAGUGGGGAAUAUUGCACAAUGGGCGCAAGCCUGAUGCAGCGACGCCGCGUGAGGGAUGGAGGCCU
rnacentral:rRNA from 1 species